rnacentral:rRNA from 1 species
AUUGAACGCUGGCGGCAUGCCUUACACAUGCAAGUCGAACGGCAGCGCGGGAGCAAUCCUGGCGGCGAGUGGCGAACGGGUGAGUAAUAUAUCGGAACGUGCCCAUUAGUGGGGGAUAGCCCGGCGAAAGCCGGAUUAAUACCGCAUACGACCUGAGGGUGAAAGCGGGGGAUCGCAAGACCUCGCGCUAUUGGAGCGGCCGAUAUCAGAUUAGCUAGUUGGUGGGGUAAAGGCCUACCAAGGCAACGAUCUGUAGUUGGUCUGAGAGGACGACCAGACACACUGGGACUGAGCCACGGCCCAGACUCCUACGGGAGGCAGCAGUGGGGAAUUUUGGACAAUGGGCGCAAGCCUGAUCCAGCAAUGCCGCGUGCAGGAAGAAGGCCUUCGGGUUGUAAACUGCUUUUGUCGGGGAAGAAAUCCUUUGGGCUAAUACCUCGGAGGGAUGGCGGUACCUGAAGAAUAAGCACCGGCUAACUACGUGCCAGCCGCCGCAGUAA